AGAAUACUGUAGCCCUACGUAGCAUCGAAUCCUAUUCGUCCGCUGAGAUCCAACCGCUAACGGUCGAGUGAAGUCAGUUGAUCUCGAUUCAUCCUCUUCCCCCAAUAAAAAUAAGAAGCAGUAGCAAUGCCGCCGCGGCCGCCGGGCGCCGGCGGAUCCACUCCGAGUCCGAGCUGAGCCUCUCGCCGCCGCCACCAGAGCUACCCUUCCCCUUCCCCAUCUGCCCGUGGCAGUUCUGUUCCAGAUACGACGCCUCCCGCGUCGAAGCGCCUCCCCUCCGUUGCCGAACAAGACACCAAGAAAGAAGAAGGCCCAAGGUGCUACGUGACGGAGCUCGACAAUUACGUGAAAUGGAACACAAGAUUGCUGAGAUCCAAGGUGGAUGGAACAACGCUAGGAAGGCGAUCCAAGUCUGAUAUUUGCUGGGGAAUGUGGCUCGUAACUGUCUGCUUGGUUCUUGUUCCGACUGCUGCUUUCAACCUUUUGCUGCUCGGAUGGUGCCUGCUGUGCCCUGAUGUGUUCUAGACUCUCUGAGCAGUCACUCUGAUUUGGAUGGCAAGAUGGGCCAGUCGUCAUAUUCAUCGCUGACUAUUUUGCAGUAUGGGUGUAGAACAAAUUCAAGAACCCAAAGCAGCUCAAGUAAAUCAAACCAAAUCAAAAUUCACCAUGUUUAUUCCUAUUAUUGCUAAUGCUUAAUUUACGUAUUUGAGCUGAAAAAACUGAUAUAGCGCAUCCUAUUCCAGUACUACCGACAUGGUUUGGGUGGGCACAGACCUCCAAGUGAAACAGGGCGAAUGUCUGACUAAACCGCAUGCACCACGAAGUUGCCGCUGUCCUCGUCGUCUUCGUCCCACCUGCCGGAGUGCGACAUGCUCCGUCGCUGGCUGCCUUUCUUCUUCGCCUCGAGGAGCGGCUCGCCGCCGCCCUCAUAGUUCACCUGGCACGCCGCCUCGGCAGACAUCUGGUCGCACCGGAUGAGGUGGUGCAGGACCUCCUUCAUGGACGGCCGCGCCGGGGGGUUCUCCCCCGUGCAGAUCACGCCGAGCGUGAACACCGACAGGAUGUCCUGCAGGUUGGCUGGGUCAUGGAUGGCCUCAUCGACGACGUCGUAGAAUGGAGCACCUUUCUGGUACCGCCGCCACGCCCAUUCCGCCAGGCACAGCUCGGCGCCGCUGUCGUUGGCAACCUUGCCUGUUGUCAGCUCUAGCAGGACGACACCGAAGCUGUAGACGUCCACCUUCUCGUUCACCUUUGGCCUGUACCCAUAUUCUGCAAAAUUCGUAUCCAAUUAGCAUUAUAAUUGCAAUUUCACAAAUUGAACUGAA